rnacentral:rRNA from 1 species
GACGAACGCUGGCGGCGUGCCUAAUACAUGCAAGUAGAACGCUGAAGGAGGAGCUUGCUCUUCUGGAUGAGUUGCGAACGGGUGAGUAACGCGUAGGUAACCUGCCUGGUAGCGGGGGAUAACUAUUGGAAACGAUAGCUAAUACCGCAUAACAGUAGAUGUUGCAUGACAUUUACUUAAAAGGUGCAAUUGCAUCACUACCAGAUGGACCUGCGUUGUAUUAGCUAGUUGGUGGGGUAACGGCUCACCAAGGCGACGAUACAUAGCCGACCUGAGAGGGUGAUCGGCCACACUGGGACUGAGACACGGCCCAGACUCCUACGGGAGGCAGCAGUAGGGAAUCUUCGGCAAUGGACGGAAGUCUGACCGAGCAACGCCGCGUGAGUGAAGAAGGUUUUCGGAUCGUAAAGCUCUGUUGUAAGAGAAGAACGAGUGUGAGAGUGGAAAGUUCACACUGUGACGGUAUCUUACCAGAAAGGGACGGCUAACUACGUGCCAGCAGCCGCGGUAAUACGUAGGUCCCGAGCGUUGUCCGGAUUUAUUGGGCGUAAAGCGAGCGCAGGCGGUUAGAUAAGUCUGAAGUUAAAGGCUGUGGCUUAACCAUAGUACGCUUUGGAAACUGUUUAACUUGAGUGCAAGAGGGGAGAGUGGAAUUCCAUGUGUAGCGGUGAAAUGCGUAGAUAUAUGGAGGAACAUCGGUGGCGAAAGCGGCUCUCUGGCUUGUAACUGACGCUGAGGCUCGAAAGCGUGGGGAGCAAACAGG